rnacentral:rRNA from 1 species
UACGGAGGGAGCUAGCGUUGUUCGGAAAUACUGGGCGUAAAGCGCACGUAGGCGGCUUCUUAAGUCAGGGGUGAAAUCCUGGAGCUCAACUCCAGAACUGCCUUUGAUACUGAGGAGCUUGAGUCCGGGAGAGGUGAGUGGAACUGCGAGUGUAGAGGUGAAAUUCGUAGAUAUUCGCAAGAACACCAGUGGCGAAGGCGGCUCACUGGCCCGGUACUGACGCUGAGGUGCGAAAGCGUGGGGAGCAAACAGG